GAUGAACGCUGGCGGCGUGCCUAACACAUGCAAGUCGAACGGAGUCCAGCCUUUAAGACCUUCGGGUCAAAGAGGGGAAGACUGAGUGGCGGACGGGUGAGUAACACGUGGGCAACCUGGCUCAUAGAGGGGGAUAACAGAGAGAAAUUUCUGCUAAUACCGCAUAAGCACACCCUGCCGCAUGGCAGAGGGUGAAAAGAGAAUCGCUAUGAGAUGGACCCGCGUCUGAUUAGCCAGUUGGCAGGGUAAGAGCCUACCAAAGCGACGAUCAGUAGCCGAUCAGAGAGGAUGAACGGCCACAUUGGGACUGAGACACGGCCCAAACUCCUACGGGAGGCAGCAGUGGGGGAUAUUGCACAAUGGGGGGAAUCCUGAUGCAGCGACGCCGCGUGAGUGAAGAAGUAUUUCGGGAUGUAAAGCGCUAGCAGCAGGGAAGAUAAUGACAGUACCUGAAUAAGAAGCCCCGGCUAACUACGUG
rnacentral:rRNA from 1 species